GGGAGAAAGCGAGCGUGCGGCUGCAGAUCACGUUUCUCAUCACAUCAGAGCUGUGGAAUUUCCUCUGGGGUGGGGGGCGCUGCGAUGCAGUCGGUUUAAGAAAGCUGCUUAGGAUUGUGCAGUGUAUCAGGGUCAUCAUUUCCAACCAUCUAUUAGUGCCAUCUAGUCGUCUAGUGAGAGAUUCGGUUAAUAAAGAUUUCUGCUUGAUAGAUUGCAAGAGCAAACAGACUUUUUGGACUCUCUUUGAAUUGCUACUGAGCUAUUACAAUACAUUGACUUCAUUUUUUAUCAUUUAACAAACUGUACGCUCCCAUUUUCCCCCUCCCUUCUCCUUUGCCAAAUACCCACCCCCCUGUAAAGUUUGGAGAAAAAAUAAAUGUAUUUCCUCUUUG